GAGAAGGCUCUCCCUCUCCCUCUCCCUUUCCCUCCCCCUCCCUCUCCCUUUCCCUCCCCCUCCCCCUCUCCCCUCUCCCCUCUCCCCACUCCCCUCUCCCCUCUCCCCUCUCCCCUCUCCCCUCUCCCCUCUCCCUCUUUCCACGGUCUCCCUCUGGUGCCGAGCCCAAGCUGGACUGUACUGCUGCCAUCUGUGCUCGCUGCAGCCUCCCUGCCUGAUUCUCCUGCCUCGACCUGCCGAGUGCCUGCUAUUGCAGGCGCGCGCCUCCACGCCUGACUGGUUUUCGUGUUUUUUUGGUGGAGACGGGGUUUCGCUGUGUUGGCCGGGCUGGUCUCCAGCUCCUAACCGGGAGUGAUCUGCCAGCCUCGGCCUCCCGAGGUGCCGGGAUUGCAGAGGGAGUCUAGUUCACUCAGUGCUCAAUGUUGCCCAGGCUGGAGUGCAGUGGCGUGAUCUCGGCUCGCUACAACCUCCACCUCCCAGCCGCCUGCCUUGGCCUCCCAAAGUGCCGAGAUUGCAGCCUCUGCCCGGCCGCCACCCCCUCUGGGAGGUGAGGGGCGUCUCUGCCUGGCCGCCCAUUGUCUGGGAUGUGGGGAGCCCCUCUGCCCGGCUGCCCGGUCUGGGAAGUGAGGAGCGUCUCUGCCCGGCCGCCAUCCCAUCUAGGAAGUGAGGAGCGCCUCUGCCUGGCAGCCCAUCGUCUGAGACGUGGGGAGUGCCUCUGCCCCGCCGCCCCGUCUGGGAUGUGAGGAGCGCCUCUGCCUGGCCGCGACCCCGUCUGGGAGGUGAGGAGCGUCUCUGCCCGGCCGCCCCGUCUGAGAAGUGAGGAGCCCCUCCGCCCGGCAGCUGCCCCGUCUGAGAAGUGAGGAGCCCCUCCACCUGGCAGCCACCCCGUCUGGGAGGGUCUUGCUCUGUCACCCAGGCUGGAGAGCAGGGUGUGAUCUCAGCUCACUACAGCCUUGACUUCCUGGGAUCAAGCCAUCCUUCCACCUCAGCCUCCCAAGCAGUCAAGACUACAGGCACACACCACCAUGCCCAGUUAAUUUUUUAAUUUUCUGUAGAGACCGGGGUUUUGCCAUGUUGCCCAGAUUGGUCUUGAACUCCUGGACUCAAGGGAUCUACUUGCCUCAGCCUCCCAAAGUGCUGGGAUCACAGGUGAGAGCCACCGCACCUGGCCUGCUUUUAUUUUUGAAUAGUAGACUUCUUUUCUCUCUUUGGCUACUUUAUCAAAACUUCAAAGGAGUUCCCACUUCUUUUGAUAGUCACAGCAACCUGAUUCAUGGAGAAAACAAAAAAGAUUAAGGGAGAUGAAGUGGUGGUUAUGGGAAGGGGCACAUGUGAAUAAACUUAUUGAGUAACCCCACUUCUUAGGACAAAAUCAUCCAAAACACAUAUUCUUUUCCUUAUGUACCAUUCUUUACUAUGCUAAUA
rnacentral:lncRNA from 1 species